ensembl:lncRNA
UGUAGAGUGGCUAGGUAGCCUAUUGUAGAGUGGCUAGUUAGCCUCUUGUAGAGUGGCUAGGUGGCCUAUUGUAGAGUGGCUAGGUAGCCUAUUGUAGAGUGGCUAGGUGGCCUAUUGUAGAGUGGCUAGGUGGCCUAUUGUAGAGUGGCUAGGUGGCCUAUUGUAGAGUGGCUAGUUAGCCUCUUGUAGAGUGGCUAGGUGGCCUAUUGUAGAGUGGCUAGGUGGCCUAUUGUAGAGUGGCUAGGUGGCCUAUUGUAGAGUGGCUAGGUGGCCUAUUGUAGAGUGGCUAGGUGGCCUAUUGUAGAGUGGCUAGGUGGCCUAUUGUAGAGUGGC